rnacentral:rRNA from 1 species
GCGCGCAAAUUACCCAAUCCUGACACAGGGAGGUAGUGACAAGAAAUAACAAUACGGGGGUCUCUGACUUUCGUAAUUGGAAUGAGAACAAUUUAAAUCCCUUAUCGAGGAACAAUUGGAGGGCAAGUCUGGUGCCAG